rnacentral:rRNA from 1 species
UACGAAGGGGGCUAGCGUUGCUCGGAAUUACUGGGCGUAAAGCGCACGUAGGCGGAUUGUUAAGUCGGGGGUGAAAUCCUGAGGCUCAACCUCAGAACUGCCUUCGAUACUGGCGAUCUUGAGUUCGGAAGAGGUUGGUGGAACAGCUAGUGUAGAGGUGAAAUUCGUAGAUAUUAGCUAGAACACCAGUGGCGAAGGCGGCCAACUGGUCCGAUACUGACGCUGAGGUGCGAAAGCGUGGGGAGCAAACAGG